AGCGAACGCUGGCGGCGGGCUUAACACAUGCAAGUCGAGCGGGCGUAGCAAUACGUCAGCGGCAGACGGGUGAGUAACGCGUGGGAACAUACCUUUUGGUUCGGAACAACACAGGGAAACUUGUGCUAAUACCGGAUAAGCCCUUACGGGGAAAGAUUUAUCGCCGAAAGAUUGGCCCGCGUCUGAUUAGCUAGUUGGUGAGGUAACGGCUCACCAAGGCGACGAUCAGUAGCUGGCUGAGAGGAUGAUCAGCCACAUUGGGACUGAGACACGGCCCAAACUCCUACGGGAGGCAGCAGUGGGGAAUAUUGGACAAUGGGCGAAAGCCUGAUCCAGCCAUGCCGCGUGAGUGAUGAAGGCCCUAGGGUUGUAAAGCUCUUUUGUGCGGGAAGAUAAUGACGGUACCGCAAGAAUAAGCCCCGGCUAACUUCGUGCCAGCCGCCGCGGUAAC
rnacentral:rRNA from 1 species